CAGGGGCUUUCAGGGAGUGGUGAGGCGGCCAGCCAAGCUUCUUCAGGGCGGGGCUUAGGGCAGAGGGGCGGGCCAUAGGCCGCCACGGAAGGAGGGCUUUAAAAGUAGGAGACAGGCCAUUGGCUACCACCGAAAGGAGGCCUAAUCAAUGAAGGGGGCGGGGCCCUGAAAGCCGCCCGCUCCACGAGCCGGGGCUGAACGGAGGGCCGCAGGCCAUUGGCUAUCACUCGAAAGGGCCUCAAGAGUUAAACAGACUUAACCACAUGACCUGCCAGUUCCAUCUCGAAGUGUCUACCCAAGAGAAAUGAAGAUACACUCCACAUAAAAACUGGCACGCCAAUAGACGCCACAACAUGAUUCUCGAUGGCCAAAAAGCGCAAACACCCAAGUCUCCAUCAACAGGUGAAUGGAUAAACCAGACGUGCUCUAUCCUUACCACAAAACACUAUUCAGUAAUGAAAGAAGCAUUGACCCACUACAACCUGAAUGAGCCUCAAAAACACUAUACUCAGUGAAAUAAGCCAGGCAAAAAGUCACAUAUUCUCUGAUUCCAACGUCAUAUGCCAUUUGACGGAAUGUCCAAAAGGGGGGGAAAAAAAGGCAAUUCUUUCAAGACACAAAGCAGUUGCCUUGAGCAAGCGGUAGAAAUCCAGAGUGAAAGUUAUAAUUCCACAAAAAGGGCCAUGAGGUUUCUUUUUGGGGUGGUGGAUAGGUUCUAAACUUAGAUUGUGGUGAUGGGUCUUACUACUUUGCAAAUAUACAGUGAAAUGCGUUGAAUUGUAUCCUCAAAGAUAAAAUUCAGAAUGCCCAGUUAAAUCUCAA